rnacentral:rRNA from 1 species
CUACGGAGGAUGCGAGCGUUAUCCGGAUUUAUUGGGUUUAAAGGGAGCGUAGGUGGGACAUUAAGUCAGCUGUGAAAGUUUGGGGCUCAACCUUAAAAUUGCAGUUGAUACUGGUUUCCUUGAGUACGGUACAGGUAGGCGGAAUUCGUGGUGUAGCGGUGAAACGCUUAGAUAUCACGAAGAACUCCGAUCGCGAAGGCAGCUCAGCGGUCCGGAACUGACACUGACGCUAGAAAGUGCGGGAAUCAAACAGGAUUAGAUACACUGGUAACACGCACAAUAAUCGAUGAAUACUCGCUGUGUGCGAUCCACGGUAAGCGGCUAAGCGAAAGCGUUAAGUAUUCCACCUGGGGAGUACGCCGGCAACGGUGAAACUCAAAGGAAUUGACGGGG